AAAUGUACAGCAUCCCUGGCAUAGUCUACGUGACUCAUACAGUGGGAGAUUUUAAGUUUUCCUCAGAGGAAUAUCUGACCUAUCUGAAUCCAGGGCUUUAAAUCAAGAAACUUAACAGAGCCCAACCCCAUUUGGGGAACUUUCUCUGGAGCCCUAGCUGAGACCUGCACACACACCCACACCCUGCCCUGGGAAACAACUACCUGCAAGCGCCACUCUUCUAUCUACUGAGCCCCUUCUCUGUGGCCGCGGGUGUAGGGGGAGGAGGAGGGGUGGCUAGACAUUUGUUAAUUAACAGGCAUUCUAGAUUAUUCUUUUUUUUUUUAAUUUAUUUUUGGCUGCAUUGGGUCUUCGUUGCUGCGUGUAGGCUUCUCAUUGUGGUGGCUUCUUGUUGCAGGGCACGGGCUGUAGAGCGCAGGCUCAGCAGUUGUGGCGCACGGGCCCAGCCAUUCCGCGGCAUGUGGGAUCUUCCCGGACCAGGGCUCGAACCUGUGUCCCCUGCAUUGGCAGGCGGAUUCUUAACCACCAGGGAAGCCCUAGGUUAUUCUUAGUUUUGGAAACAGAGCUCUAAGGCUGGUUCUUAAACUUUAGUGAACUGCUUGAAGGUUCCAGAUUGCUAGAUUUCUCAGUGGAUCUGGGGAGGUGCCCCUAAACCUAUGUUUUUAACAAGUUCCCUGGUGACACAAAUGUUGCUGGUCAGGAGACCAGCUUGGGAACCACUGCUCUAAGGCGUUCCUCAAACCAUAGUGAACGUGUCACCUGGAGUCUUGGUUAACUACAGAUGCAGAUUCAGGUCUGUCCCCAAAUUGUGCAUUUCUUGCAAGAACCUCGGAGAUGGCAAUGCUGUUGGUCCAUGGACCACUCCUGAGGCUCCCAAGUACAGUUUCUGAUGCCUAUUAAAGGAACGGGAAAGGUUGGACUACCUUUGCUCACCCUUCUAAAUCUGAACAAAAAUACGCCCUUCUCCAUGUAAACGAAAAGGCACUGUCACUUCCAACUGUCAUCUUGUUUGGGGGCACCCAAGAAAAACUUCCCACCUACUGAACUGAGGCAAUGAGGUGGUGGUAGUGGGGUAGUGUGUCCUGAAGUAGUGGCGGCAAUCCCAAUCGUAAACAUUGCUUUCUGUUUUCUAACAGACUCCUCAGGCCAAGCACGAAGAUGCCCCGAGGUCCAGUUCGGUUCACUUAGUGUAUCUCUGCUGGCAUUCGGGUGAGGAUGGAGGGUGAAGCAGUGAUUUCAAAACAGUAAAAGCCGGCUUCUCCCCAGACUGUGGCAUCAGAGGGCUAUCAGAGAGCAGCAGGUAAGAGAAAUCUCAACCACUGAGUUUGAAGGAGACAAUCUGUACCACUAGUACAGCUCUUCCAACCAGCAGACUCUCAUCCACCUGAUCAGCCGAGGAGCACACAACAGAAAACCUAAGACUCAUGCCAAGGACAAGACCGGCGAGGGUUAGCAGCGCUGCAGACCUCGACAGACGCAGGGGCCCUGGGAGAACGUGGCUUUCUCCAAAGGGCUGCCCCCACUAUCUAUCUAUCUCUUCUCAACCUAUUCCGGAUCCAGAAAGCUGCCUGCUUGGGUGGGAAUCCAUCUAGCUAGGAGAGCGCUGCUUCCCACUCCUUUGGGAAACUACAAACCCUUCCGGUCUGUCCUGCUCCCUGGUGACGCAGAGGCGGGGGCAGCAGGCACUACACAGCUGGUCUACAGCAGAGGCUCGCUCUGCUUCGGCAGACGCUUACUUGCCUAAGUGCUUGCGUCGUGACAGCAGCCCGUCCGCUGGGCUGGCCUUGGCUGCGUCUCCUUGGAAGACAGUGCGGAUGGCAGACAUGAGGCUCGGCCUGACCCAGUCCUUCAGGCCCUGGCUAAAACUCAGACAUUCCUACCCCUGCAUCUCAUCCCCAGUCUGAAUGGCGGUAUUUAGGGAAAAACUGCCCCAGGGCCGGCGGACAGGCCCACAGGAGUUACAUCUUCUAGUACUGACGAGUGCAUGGGAUUCCAGCCACAAUUUCCGAUUCGAUUCCACAGUGAUCCUCUCCUCUGAGGAUUUUAAAGAAGCCUAGAGAGCAGAAGACGCCUUUAGAGAGUGCUUGGCUUUUGCCGACAUAUCCAGACCCACCCCUGAAAAACGGGGAAACGGAAGUCACAAACCAGCCCCAAAGCUGUCACCAGCCGGCCCACAAGGUGCUCUGCCGGCUUCCGUUCAGCCCGCAUCCGGCCCCUGCACCUGGUGCCAUGGGGACCCAGGCCCAGCACACACCCUCCCGGGAUCAGAGGCUGCCCUCGUGGAAGCCCCGGCUCCCUGGCACCUGCGCAGCUGGCGGAGCAGGACAGGACGCCCGCUGUGCCCUGCUCAGGGGGCCCUGCUCUCAGCAGGAAGGGGCUGCGCUCACCAUUGUCACCCCAGUCAGUGUUCCAGGAGUUGCCGACCAGCCAGUAGGGGGUGCCGUUCUCCACUCCCCAGCCCAGGAUGCGGAUGGCAUGGCCUCCCAUCAUCUCUCCUGUGACGUGCUGGUACACCCCUGGGAAAGGAGACAGCGCUCAGGCCGGGCAGCCGCCCCAUCUGCCACAGCACCCCUCCAGCUCACUGGUCACCCCGGGCAGGACGGACGGGGCCGGAGGAAAGGACCGGCCCUGGCGUUCCACAAGAAGCUCCAGGGGUUCCCACAACAUUUUGGAAUUACUUAUUUUGAAAGCCUAACAAACACACUAUAGGAGGUAAAUAUUAAGAUGGAGGCCAAUCAAAUGUGUUUGUUGGUUCCCUUUAAAACUAAAGUUGUAAAUUCUAAUAAAAAUACCAACAGUUAACUGUGUUACAUACAGUGACUUCACGUAAUGAUGUGUCGAAAGGGUUCCGUGGCUUAGUUUCACUGCUGCUCUGGGGCACACCCUGCAGAGGUGCUGUGGGAGAGGGGCUGGGCUGGCAGUGCUGAUGACCCAGAAAGAUGCUGGCUAAGGUGCUCUGAGGACCCCCAGGCUACCGCCUCACUGGUGAAUCACUUCGUCGAACUGGAAAUGCGUCCUCUCAUAUAAUACUGGUGGAGACUGUUAAGAACUACCAACUUUAUCAUUUUUCUUGCCAGGCACCUUGGUUUUUUUUCUAUAAGAUUGGAGAGCUUUGGAGUUUUCGAUCUAGCAGCAUAUAAAAUGAGACAGAAGCCCUCAGCACAGACUGUUCGUCUGGAAUGGGGGAUUUCUAAGCUCUCAGGCGGGGACCAUCCUGUCCCCGGCCGUUUGAAUCCCCACAGCAAGGUGCUCCCUCUUUCCUCAUCCACUGGGUGCUGGGCAUGACGCUUAGACUCUGCCAAGGCCAACGUGAAUGCGAUGAGGAAGCAAUGGAGGCGGGGAUGGAAAGGCUCCCCAAGGAGAGAUGUGAGCUGGCCUUUCCGCUGCGGAGAGCUCUACCACCAGCCAAGGAGCAGCCAGGGGCGUGUGGCCCCACCUCCGCCUGGAGGCCCACCUCCCCCCAGGAGGUCCUGCCAGCCGGGAACCCAGCCCUCCCUCCCCCUCCAGCUGCCACCAGGGGUCGAGACCCACCAGACUUGUACAGCAGGAAGUCCGAAUACACAGAGAAGGCCCCCUCGACUGGGCCGUUUUUGUAGAUCUCCGCCAUGAUCUCCUUCUCGCUACCGGAGACGCUGUAGGAACUGCAUCCUGCAAAGAGACCGGCCAAGUCAGGCAGGGCGCCUCCCACAGAGGGUCGCACGGGGCCUGAGACCCUGGAAACAGGGCAGGCAGCACCCAGAAGGAUUCUAGGGCAGACUACUCCCCCCAUGAAAUGAGACCUUUGGUCUCUUCCUUCCUAGGCUGGAGUUCUAAGACACCAUUCCGCAGACUUCAGGGUGGAAACGGGCAGAAUGCAGUGUGCUGCUCCCUCCCGUAAGAUAGGCCCCAUUCUGUGUUCCUGACCUAAGACCCCAAAGCCCUGGUCUUCCCUCCUUGGCUUCCCCCGGCCGGUGCACUGGGGGCGCCCGCCCCGCUUACCAAAGUGCUUGUCUUCUUUGUAGGAUGGGGUGUAGCCGGGCUCACAGAUCUUGCUGCACUUGGGGGUGUCGCCCUCCCCCGUGCACGGGGGCCGGGAGCCGUUCACGUGGUGCUCGCAGGGGGGGAUGGAGUAGGGCCUGCAGCCUGAAGGGCCAAGGACAAAGGUGGGUGUCAGGAGGAGGCCCGUCGAGGCCAGAGUGAAGAAUCGGGGCGACGGCUCGCGGGAACAGAAGCCUCAAGUCUGCGGCACUGACCCUGUCCUCCUGUUGCUAACUGCCAUACACAAGGCUGCCUUGUCUUUCGACCUGGAUUUUCAGCCCAGCAUUCCUGCCCUCAACCCUUAACCUCUAACUUUAUAGGGGAAAAUGAGACCACUAUUAUUCCUGCAUAUAAAAUCUAUCUGGCCAGAUGGGGGCUGAGGGCAGACACUCACCCACAUGUGAGUUAUAGAGGCCCCCGGACACCAGGCCUUGUUUCGUCCAGAAGUUCCAGGCUCCAGCGGGGAAGCCGCCAUUACAGCUGAGAAAAGAACCACUGGUUAAACUUAUGGUGAGAGUGGUUCUCGCUGCUCCCAGACCACAGCCCAGUGCACCACCACUGCCUUUGGCAACUGGCGCGACAGUUCUCCCAGACCCCCAAAUGCCCCAUUCAUCCUCCCGACAGCCACUUGUUGCAGGGACUCGCCCCCAGCAGACAGGAAGUACUUUCAUAAUCAGGCUCUGUCUUCUGUCUAGACAGCGGUUCUCGAAGGGCAGUACGUUAGAAUCCCCUGGGGCUCUUACAGAACACCAAUGCCAGGGAUUCCCAUUUCAUUGCUGUGGGGUGAGACCUGGGCAUUUUUUUUUAAACUCUCAGGUAUUGCUAAUCCGCAGCCGCAUCUGAGAACCACUGUUGCAGAAGCAAGGGCAGAGUUGGCAGAAGACAGGAUCUGGUUACGAACGUGGCUUAUCUGGGAGCCCACCACCCUUAAUUACAGAGGAGACAGGCCCCAGAGACCACUACAUUUCCUCAAGCAGGAAGGGAACCAGCACGACAAAACCCAGAAGCUAAGCCGCCUGUGCGGAGAACCUGUGUCUGGCCCCCAUGGCCCACACCCAGCUCUGCGCGGCCGGCCUGGUUUCCGACGCCCCGGGUCCCCAUCGUGUCUCAGCAGAGGCGUCAUCCUGCCUGAGGGAGCGGCGCUCCCACCCGCAGGGAGCCCCCCGGCCAGCGCCCACCCGCAGGUCUGCUGGGCGGCUUCGAGGGCCUCCGACUCACCCCUCCCCACACUCGUCGCCACAGCAGGUCAGCAUGUCCUCGGCGGACACCUCCACGUUGACACGUCCAUUGCUGCGGAUGCAGAGCCGGUCAGAGAUGGCUUCCACCGCCCCGAACGCCUGCAAGAACCGGCACACUGAGCCCCAUCCUGCACUGCGGGCCCUCCAGCCUCCACCCGGGGGGCGACGUCAGGCACCCCGUGCCUUCCUGGUGGCUGGUCCCUCUCCACGGCAGCGGAGGGGCCUGGUACUCAAGCUGGGCAUUAAAUCAAGAGACAAGUCCACCCCAAACCUCUACCUGGGCAUUCAGUUCGCUGCUGAAACAUGCGGUCUUUGGUUUCUGACAUAAAAAUAUAGCUUGUACAAAGGACGAAUACUGUAUGAAUCUACUUACAUAUGAGGUACCCAGACUAGUUAAAAUAGUGAGAGACCAAAAAAAAAAAGGGGGGGUG